UGGAAGUGCCUUUCCGAAAUGGGUUUGGCUAAUGCCUGAAGAACAUCAAUCAUCCCAGCUCAGAGGGCACUUUCCGCAUUUCGACACCCACCACGGCGCCUAUUAAUCCGAAGUUAAG
rnacentral:sRNA from 1 species